GAGUUUGAUCCUGGCUCAGGAUGAACGCUAGCGACAGGCUUAACACAUGCAAGUCGAGGGGCAGCGGGGGUGAUGGCUUGCCAUCACCUGCCGGCGACCGGCGCACGGGUGAGUAACACGUAUGCAACCUGCCCGCCACAGGGGGAUAAGCGGAAGAAAUUCCGUCUAAUACCGCGUGACGCGGCACCGGGGCAUCCCGGUGCCGCCAAAGGGAUUACCGGUGGCGGAUGGGCAUGCGGCGCAUUAGCUAGUCGGCGGGGUAACGGCCCGCCGAGGCGACGAUGCGUAGGGGUUCUGAGAGGAAGGUCCCCCACACUGGUACUGAGACACGGACCAGACUCCUACGGGAGGCAGCAGUGAGGAAUAUUGGUCAAUGGGCGCGAGCCUGAACCAGCCAAGUCGCGUGAGGGAUGACGGUCCUACGGAUUGUAAACCUCUUUUGCCGGGGAGCAAGCGUGCGUUCGUGAACGCGCGUCGAGAGUACCCGGAGAAAAAGCAUCGGCUAACUCCGUGCCAGCAGCCGCGGUAAUACGGAGGAUGCGAGCGUUAUCCGGAUUUAUUGGGUUUAAAGGGUGCGUAGGCGGGAUGCCAAGUCAGCGGUAAAAAUGCGGUGCUCAACGCCGUCGAGCCGUUGAAACUGGCGUUCUUGAGUGGGCGAGAAGUAUGCGGAAUGCGUGGUGUAGCGGUGAAAUGCAUAGAUAUCACGCAGAACUCCGAUUGCGAAGGCAGCAUACCGGCGCCCUACUGACGCUGAGGCACGAAAGCGUGGGUAUCGAACAGGAUUAGAUACCCUGGUAGUCCACGCAGUAAACGAUGAAUGCUAACUGUCCGGCUCGAAUGAGCGCUGGGCGGUACAGCGAAAGCGUUAAGCAUUCCACCUGGGGAGUACGCCGGCAACGGUGAAACUCAAAGGAAUUGACGG
rnacentral:rRNA from 1 species